CCUUCGGCGCUGUCACGCAGCAUCCUCCCCUCAAGGCUCAACACCCUUGGCUGCUUCACUUCCUACCUGACGGGCAGGAAGUGGAUCAUUUCUAUCUCUGGAUAAUUGUUUUCCUCUUCAACAAUCAAAAAUGGAAUUCACCAGCUGCAGAUGGAUGGUCACACUUCUGCUCCUCUGCCUUGUACACCAUCUCCCUGCUGUCUUCGGCACAGAUUUAUAUGCUCGUCCUGGAGAUACUGUCACACUGCCCUGUGAUGGACCAGCAGAUAAAGACACCAGUGAAGUUGAGGUGUUUUGGAUUUUUGGAGGCACGACUGUCUGUCUGUUUCAAAAUGGGACUUGGUGUGAACAUCCUCACUUUGUUAACCGGACUCAGCUUGGAUCCAUCCGACAGAACAACUUCUCUUUGGUCAUUAAUGGUGUCAGACUGCAGGAUCAGGGUGGAUAUAAGUGUCUGAUCAAUGGUGCAGUGAUGCAGAGGAGUUGCCUUUCUGUUAAAGGUAAGUAAACCCUCUGACCGGCCACCUUAAACCUCAGGAGACCCCGUCUCUGUGGGGCAAACCCUCUUCCAGCUCAGCCUGCCCCCCUGCCCUGCUUGAGCAGAGCCCCCACCCAGAAGAUGAGAGCAGUAGGGACCCCCCCUCUGCAGCUCCCCUCU